rnacentral:rRNA from 1 species
UACAGAGGGGGCAAGCGUUAUUCGGAAUUAUUGGGCGUAAAGGGCGCGUAGGCGGCUUAACAAGUCACUUGUGAAAUCUCCGGGCUUAACUCGGAACGGCCAAGUGAAACUGUCAAGCUAGAGUGCAGAAGGGGCAAUCGGAAUUCUUGGUGUAGCGGUGAAAUGCGUAGAUAUCAAGAGGAACACCUGAGGUGAAGACGGGUUGCUGGGCUGACACUGACGCUGAGGCGCGAAAGCCAGGGGAGCAAACGGG